UACGUAGGGGGCAAGCGUUGUCCGGAAUCAUUGGGCGUAAAGAGCGCGUAGGCGGUCCGGUAAGUCAGCUGUGAAAGUCAAGGGCUCAACCCUUGAAAGCCGGUUGAUACUGUCGGGCUAGAGUCCGGAAGAGGCGAGUGGAAUUCCGGGUGUAGUGGUGAAAUGCGUAGAGAUCCGGAGGAACACCAGUGGCGAAGGCGGCUCGCUGGACCUGACCUGACGCUGAGGCGCGAAGGCGUGGGGAGCGAACGGG
rnacentral:rRNA from 1 species